CCCCCUCGUUCUCCCGGCCGGUCCCGAUGGAGCCGCCGCACCUCUACCCCGUGAAGCUCUACGUGUACGACCUGUCCAAGGGCCUGGCCCGGCGCCUCAGCCCCAUCAUGCUGGGGAAACAACUGGAAGGCAUCUGGCACACCUCCAUAGUUGUGCAUAAGGAUGAGUUCUUCUAUGGUGCCGGUGGUAUCUCCAGCUGUUCCCCGGGAGGGACGAUGCUUGGGCCCCCAGACCGUGUGGUUGAUGUGGGGAGCACUGAAGUCACAGAGGAAAUCUUUCUGGAGUACCUGUCCUCCAUGAGGGAGUCUGAGUUCCGAGGGGAGGCCUACAAACUCCUUGACCACAACUGCAACACCUUCAGCAACGAAGUGGCCCAGUUCCUGACUGGGCGGAAGAUCCCUUCCUACAUCACCGACCUUCCCUCUGAAAUCCUCUCCACGCCCUUCGGACAGGCCCUGCAGCACAUGCUGAACAACACCCAGAUCCAGAUUCCCGGCACCAGCGCCCUAGACCGGCCCAAUGGUCAGAAAUAACAGGACAGCCCUGACCGCUUGCAUCUCCAGGGCUUUUCCUUUUUUAAAGUUUUUGUUUUGUUUGUUUGUUUGUUUUUUGUUUUUGGGCCACACCCAGUGAUGCUCAGGGGUUACUCCUGGCUAUGCGCUCAGAAAUUGCUCCUGGCUUGGUGGGUCAGUCCGGGUCAGCCAGGUGCAAGGCAGACGCCAGCUCGGGAGGCCAGGAUUCCCCCCCUCCCAAAGAAAGGGGAGAGCAGGUUGCAGGUGGGGGAAAUGAAUAGGGUUCGGAUAGGCUCUGAGCUCUGCUGACCCUUCUGACUGCUCCUGUCACCCUCACACCUGAAUUUCCUCCUUUCCUGGGACUGGCUAUAGACACGGAUGUCCAUUGAUGUCUCUCAUCACCUCACCACUGAAUUCUGCCUUAGCCUUUGCCUCUGACUCCCCUGACCACCCAAAGUCAAAUGAUAUUUUGGAACUUCUAAGAUUGGAGGCCGAGCUGAUGAACAGUUGAGUUCCUUGUCAGUGCUGGAUGGAUGGAACGGGUGAAGACGCUGCAAAAGGGGCCUGGCCCAUGGAGCACAGGCCUUGGGCUGGGUUUCUCCAGGACUGGUAGCCCUGGUCUCAUUCACUCUGCCUCCCACCUGCAGCCUGUGCAGCUCCUCCAUAUCUGCAGGUCCAGCUGGUUCCCUUCCUCUCAGCAAUUGCCCCAGACCAGGACUGAGGACACUACCACAGAGAGUGGUUGGGAGAGGAGCCUCAUCCCCUGCAGCCCUGGGUUGUGUGUGUGGGGGUGGGUGUAUCAAAAGCCCCCUUCCCAGAGCCCCAGGACUUGCUGGCCCCGCUUGGACAUGCCAUGGGCAGACCCCACAUACAGAGGCCUGCAGCCUUUGGGGACAGGGUAGGUGGGGAACAGAGUCAGGCCGCAAGAACAAAGCUUGGAGCACAGCGGUGUCAGUUUUCUCUGGUGUUUCUAAUGCAAUAAACUCAUUUCAGCCCACCA